CCCUCGCAGCCCCUCCGCCUGCGAGCCGACCACAGGCGGGUGGCGGAGCAGUCGAAGCCUCGGGGCUCGGGAGCGGGUCGAUCGCCGGCCUCGGGCCGUGGAGGUGGAAAGAGGGCGUUCGCCGCGCCAGCCGGACGCUGCCGGGAGUGUGGGGCGCGUUGGGCAGGCUGAUUCUGAUGAGCGAAUGGCCAGUUAGCGCUCCGAUCACAUCGCCUUGAGGCAGGAAGAACUGCGAGCCAGGAUGCAGCAGUAGCGUUGUUCCAGGAACACCUCGGUCCUUGUCCCACCUGCACUUUGGGGAUAAGAGCCUGGCAUGACCGGCGUGAGCUUUGCAAUCGGAAAGACCUGUGUCUUCAGUCUGUUGCCUUCAUUGCAAAAUAAGGACGAAAGAAACCUUGUGUUGUGAGGCAGUAAAUGUUUUCUUUCUCUCCUUCUCUUUCCCACCUUCUCACCUGUGAAGUAUUUAGCAGCCAGGAGAGCUCGGGUGAAAGAGACAGUGAUCAUCUUGACCCAAGCAAGAGUUGGAGCCAGAACUCAGAUCUAGGAAUCUUGAGCCUCCAAACACUCUCCUUGGUUUUUUUGUUUAGGGUAUUCCGGAGCCAUUGGACUUUUCUUUCCCUCCCACUUUUGGCAGUCAUGCACUCAUCCCUUCAUUCCUCCAGCCAAUGCAGUGUCUCUCAGAUAUGCACCACUCUGAGCCCCGUGCCUGCUGCAGUACACUAUGAUAGUUCCGUACUUAAGGAGCUUGCUGUCUUAACACCUUCCUCUGCAGGCUUAACUCGUGAUUUUCACAACUGAAUGACAGAAAUAUUAGGAUUAGGUCCACUUUACAGAGGAGAAAACUGAGGCACCCAAGAUGAAAGACCUGCCAUAGCAUAAAAACAUUAAACUGUCUUUUGGGAUCUAUCCAUUCUGUACUCUAGGCGCUUCUAUUCUACUACGAAAGUAAAUAAAAAGUUGCCUAAAAAAAAA